rnacentral:rRNA from 1 species
GAUGAACGCUAGCUACAGGCUUAACACAUGCAAGUCGAGGGGAAACGAUAUUGGAAGCUUGCUUCCGAUAGGCGUCGACCGGCGCACGGGUGAGUAACGCGUAUCCAACCUGCCCAUCACUUGGGGAUAACCUUGCGAAAGUAAGACUAAUACUCAAUGAUAUCUCUAGAAGACAUCUGAAAGGGAUUAAAGAUUUAUCGGUGAUGGAUGGGGAUGCGUCUGAUUAGCUUGUUGGCGGGGUAACGGCCCACCAAGGCGACGAUCAGUAGGGGUUCUGAGAGGAAGGUCCCCCACAUGGGAACUGAGACACGGUCCAAACUCCUACGGGAGGCAGCAGUGAGGAAUAUUGGUCAAUGGACGAGAGCCUGAACCAGCCAAGUAGCGUGCAGGAUGACGGCCCUAUGGGUUGUAAACUGCUUUUAUAAGGGAAUAAAGUGGGAGUCGUGACUCCUUUUGCAUGUACCUUAUGAAUAAGGACCGGCUAAUUCCGUGCCAGCCGCCGCCGUAA